UACGUAGGGUGCGAGCGUUGUCCGGAAUUAUUGGGCGUAAAGAGCUCGUAGGCGGUCUGUCGCGUCGGGAGUGAAAACUUACAGCUUAACUGUGAGCGUGCUUUCGAUACGGGCAGACUUGAGGCAUUCAGGGGAGAACGGAAUUCCUGGUGUAGCGGUGAAAUGCGCAGAUAUCAGGAGGAACACCGGUGGCGAAGGCGGUUCUCUGGGAAUGUCCUGACGCUGAGGAGCGAAAGUGUGGGGAGCGAACAGG
rnacentral:rRNA from 1 species